CAACAACAACCGUAGAUCCGAACUUGUGAUGUUUUACUGACAGGUUCGCAUCUACGGACUUUGUAGU